CRAUDUCAGGAGGAUAGCCCGGGGAAACUCGGAUUAAUACUCCAUAAGAUUUUGAUUGGCAUCGAUUAAAAUUGAAAGAUUUAUUGGAUAAGGAUAGGCAUGCGUCAGAUUAGUUAGUUGGUAGUGUAACGGACUACCAAGGCGAUGAUCUGUAGGGGGCCUGAGAGGGUGAACCCCCACACUGGUACUGAGACACGGACCAGACUCCUACGGGAGGCAGCAGUGAGGAAUAUUGGACAAUGGAGGGAACUCUGAUCCAGCCAUCCCGCGUGCAGGAAGACGGCCCUAUGGGUUGUAAACUGCUUUUGUAUGGGGAUAAAUCUACCUACGUGUAGGUAGUUGAAGGUACCAUACGAAUAAGCAUCGGCUAACUCCGUGCCAGCAGCCGCGGUAAUACGGAGGAUGCAAGCGUUAUCCGGAUUCAUUGGGUUUAAAGGGUCCGUAGGCGGGCUGAUAAGUCAGUGGUGAAAUUUUGUCGCUCAACGAUAAAACUGCCAUUGAUACUGUUAGUCUUGAGUGAUAUUGAAGUAGCUGGAAUGUGUAGUGUAGCGGUGAAAUGCAUAGAUAUUACACAGAACACCGAUUGCGAAGGCAGGUUACUAAGUAUUAACUGACGCUGAAGGACGAAAGCGUGGGGAGCGAACAGGAUUAGAUACCCUGGUAGU
rnacentral:rRNA from 1 species